UUAAGAAAUUAGUGAGGCCUAGGAUUCACACAUCUCUGUAAUUAUAUAUCUUACUUUUCAGGGGUGUUCAGAGCUUGCCUCUCUGAUUGACAAUGGGUUUUGGAUAGUUUUCUGAGCAGUAGAGAAAUAUCGUCUCCGAAUGAGUUUUCCAUAGAUGAGUCUUCAUGGGUUCUGUUGCAGAGAAGGAUUCGAUGAAAUCACAGAACGUUUCAAACAGAAGUUACAGCAUUAAUGGAUCGCACUCAAAAGCGAGCUGUCGGAGCUCUUAUUUUCAUCCGGCUCUUGUAUGGUCCGGUUUGGCCAGCCCUUUAUAUGGUGAAGCAAGAUGUGUUUUCAUCGUGGGGGAAGAGUAACUCAUGUAAGCUCUCGAGAUUUAUAACUAAAUUGAAGCUCAAUUUGUUGUUAAUUGUGCAAGUAAAAUUGGUCAUCAGACGUGACAAACUUAAAAAGUAAUUAUGCAGCAACUCUGUUGAUAAUGUCGUUUGACUUUUUUAGA